rnacentral:rRNA from 1 species
CGCGAAUGGCUCAUUACAGCAGCCAUAGUUUAUUGGAUGUUUACGUUCCUACAAGGACACCUGCGGUAAUUCUGGAGCUAAUACUUGCGAAAUGCGACAACCUCACGGGAGUCGUGCAUUUAUUAGAUUAAACCAAUCGGUCCUUCGGGACCGCCAUUUGGUGAACUCUGAAUAACUUAGCUGAUCGCACAGCCUCGUACUGGCGACAAAUCUUUCAAGUGUUUGCCUUUUCAACUUUCGAUGGUAGUUUAUACGACUACCAUGGUUGUAACGGGUAACGGAGAAUAAGGGUUCGACUCCGGAGAGGGAGCCUGAGAAACGGCUACCACAUCCAAGGAAGGCAGCAGGCGCGCAAAUUACCCACUCGCAGAACGCGGAGGUAGUGACGAAAAAUAACGAGGUGGCUCUCUAUGAGGUCCAUCAUCGGAAAGGGUACAAUUUAAAUCCUUUAACGAGGAUCUAUUGGAGGGCAAGACUGGGCCAGCAGCCGCGGUAAUUCCAGCU